rnacentral:piRNA from 1 species
UUUGGCACUCUGUGCAGAAGAAG